rnacentral:lncRNA from 10 species
AGCAAUCAGUGCGUUAAAUUAUUCUGUUACAUGAUAUUUAUUACUGUUGAAUUAUUCUGUGACUUAGAAAUGGCAGUAACCUAAAUAAUGGAAUUUGCAAAAUUAUUAUAUUGCCGUAUCUGAGAUGUUCCAUCACAAGUUUCUACACUGGUUUCUUUUGAAAAUUUAAAAAGAUUUACGAGAUACAUUUUCUAGGAUAUGAUUUUUUUUUUACAAAAAGCUUCAUCUUCUGUAGACUAUCCUUAAUUUCUAUUUUGAAACGGUAAAAAUUGAUAUUUUAGGACACCAGGAAGUCUCCAAGCCAUUCCCACUCUCUGAACUCCAGUAGGGUCUGUGAUGUCCCAGGCACCAGUACCAAGUUGGAUGUGCAGAUAUGCAUAGGCAGGUCCCAUCCUUGAGGACUUCAGAGUCCAGUAAAAGGCAGCAGAAACAUGGGCUGGUGCCUAAGAGGAGAAAGCGUAGCCACAGUAAAGGCUAUGCCAGAAAACUCCUAGCAAAUGCUCUGUGUUCUUGGGAGAGGGCACAUUGUUUUUGUUUUCUCUCCUAUAGUUCCUGUAACUGCUGGUUUUGAGAAUAUAGUAAUCAUUUUUCCCAGAGGCAGAUGACCACCUUAAGGUUCUUUAGCUGCAAAUCCUCUAGGUUGAAGUUUGUGUGAAAUAGUCACAGUGAUUUUGAAUAGUAAGGAAUCCAGUUGCCUUUUGAACCUUCCCUCACAGGGAUGAGAGAACAAGCCUGUGGAGGUUGUGGAGCUACUGGUAAACAACUGUCAGGGCCCCAGAAGGCUGAUGUGGAGGCCUGGGGAUACAUUUCAUCUAAUAAAAGUAUUACUAGGUAUCAGUAUCAGUAAUAAAAGUAUUAUAAUAAAGUAUCAGUAAUAAAAGUAUUAUAAUAAAAAGUAUUAUUAGGACAGGUAAACUCAUCCAUCUACUGUGAGCUGCUGGCUUGGAGAACGACUUUUGAGGAGCCAGUUUCCUGAGGAGAAAUGCUUUUAUAAAGCACUCAUUGCUUUGUAAAAGGAGACAAAACUGAUCCUAAAUGACCACUCCAGGGUUGCUGAUUUUGUUUCUGGCUCAUGUCUGCCUAGUAAACCACCAGCAAGCUGCUGAACCAGGCUGGAAACAACAUUGUUGCAACUGGGAGGGACAUAGAGUACUGUGAAAGCAGCGUUCCAACACAUCUUCACUUUUACAAAGGGAUAGGCAGAGACUUCCAACAUAGAGGUUCUUAAACUUCGAGGGGUUACAAUCCCCUUGCAAAUAUUUUUAUAGCUAUGGACCCUCUCCUCAGAUCUACAGCCAACAUUUUCAGUGCACCUUAGGAGGUCAUUUUAGUCCACGCCUCUGAAAAAGCUGCACUCCAACGGCUGAAGAGCAAGCCAUACGGCCGAGAAUGGGGCUCCCUUUGCCUUCAUGAAAGCUACUUCCCCCAACACUAAGACUCAGCUGUACGUUUGCUUAGCUCAGUCACAUUUACAUUCUUCUGGGUGAACUGUACCUUUUGAGUACCUGCCUUCAUUUUCUAGAAUCAGACCUAACAAGGUCAGUAGAAGCCUGGGCAGCAGCAGGCCUGGAAAGACGAGGCAGCCAGCAUGAACUGCUGUUCUCUCCCUGACCACAAGGCGUCGUCUUCCUCCAGGGUCAAGUAAUUGUUCUUGUUCCGCCUCACAGGAAUGUGGGGAGGAAGGACGUAACACUAUAAAAUGCUGCGUCCUACCUUAAACUUGUACUGUGAGAAAGCUGGAAACUUCCACCUGUACAGUGGGUCUGGUUUGCAUGUUUAGUUUCAUUUGUGGGAACUGCUUGUCCAAGAGUGAGCUCAGGUCAGGGCAGUUUGUGCCUAUGAGAAUUAGCUCAGCUAUCAGGCAGGUUUUUAGACACCUUUUUAAAAUGUGCUCGUGUUUGGUUUGUUUUGCUUACUGUCAGUCCUGGGUCAAUCAAAGGUUUGUAAGGGUGAGAAUUUUUAUGCACUGCUAUAUCGCAAGUGCUUAAAACAGAGACUGGCCCAGAUGAGGCAUUCUUCAAAUGUUUGUUGAAAUGAAUGGACAAACUCUUAGGAUAAAUCCUAAUUUGUUGGCAACUGUUAUUUGAUUUUAGAAGGCAAACUGAUUUUAUUUUAGAGAGGGGAAGGGGAGGGGAGGCUCAUUAGCCUCUUGGUAGAAAGAGGACUAUUUCUGCAAAUGAAUAGGUUUCCACCUUAAGUAGUGACAGUCCUUAACUUCUUAUUAUGGAGUGAGUCUUGACCGCUUUCCAAGUUCAAUAGAAGUUCAAGAUUGCCUCUCAGUGAUUAGGGAAAUUGAAGCUUUUAAAGCUCCUGGUCUCAGUAAUUCCUCAGAAUAAACCUCUUUAAAAGGGAUAUUGAUGGAAAUGUACAAUUACCAGUAAUUGAGGUUUUAUCUGAGGGGAUGGAGAUGAUGAAAUGGUUCCUUCUUGGAAGUUGUUGGCAUUUUGGCUUUAUUUUUCACAAAUAAAGUGAAACCAUUUAAAACGAUUGACAACGAUUAUAUAGUGCCAUGUGGAAUACAAUAGAUAUUAAUUUGUGGUUGGUUUUUCUGCCUGCUUUAAAUGAAAUGUAUUAUGUUUCUGGGUUCCUUUUUUAGCUGUAAAAAUACUUCGUCACUAAAGCAUGAAAUUUAAUCAGCAGUUGUUCUUCAAGUUCCUGAAAGCUAUAAAAGUUUCUCAUGACUUGAGUGGUUUUUUCCCUGCCCACCAGAGGAGAAAGCCCUUGUAGAAUUCUGCAGUGUUACAAGUGUUCCCUACAAAAACUGAAACCAUCAGCUCCUCUUUAACAAGUUGGCUUUUUAAAAGCACGUAAUUACAAUUUAAUGGUAUUCUGUAAAGUGGUGCUUUAGGCAUAAUUUAAAUUCUUUUUAAUGACUAUAUUUCUUCAAAACUUUGAAAGAAAAAUGUGUUCUUUUUGCUGCAUCCUUUGUAAGAAGACUGCCAACAGAGGAAAAAGGACUUUACAAAUUAAGACCAUCUUGGUUUCAUUUCCACAAAGAUGAGAACAAAUCAUGGUGUUAGGAAAGGAUCCUUAGAAGAACACAAGAAUUUGAAAGCCCUUGGUGGUUAUCACUACUAUAUUUCAUAUUUCCACAGAAGUGACUUAGCCAAGCUCUGCAUUUUGAGCCUGCUGACUUUCAUUUAAAAGGAAUGAAAGGCUGAAAAUCCAGGCUGCUGUGUCUGUAGAUAAAGGUCAAACCAUGUUUGAGUUCUUCACUGUUGUGUCCACCUAAAUAAAACUGAGU